ACAGCUCGGCCGCUCUUGUUUUGUUUCCGCCAUUUUUCUCUCGUUUGCUUUCUUCCAUUUUUCUUCUUCUUUGGUAGUCAUAAUUCAACUAUUAGAAUUGUGUAUUUGUCAAAUAAUAUUAAUAAACAAUGAAGAUGAUGCUCCAAAAAGAAGAUUGUGAUUGGUGAAGCUGCUAAUAAGGGGGUUGCCCUAAACUGGAGAAGCUUGAGAUCAAGGAUUCCCCUUUUGGAAAUAUAGCGCUCUGGUAUGCAUCACUAUCAUAACAUGAGAUUCCUUUGGAUGUCGACUUGUAAGGUAACUCGCCGAGGUUGUAGGGAAAUUGCUCGUCAAAUCCCGAGUGUGAUUGUGGAAAUAUUUAAUGGGAAGAAGGUGAGAAUUCUGAUCUCGUCGACACAAUGUACUUGUACAGGUCUGUUGAAAGUCCGAGGGCUGAUGCACCAACAUUUGUGAAUAUCCUCUAAUCUUGUAGUAUUUAAAAUGUUCCAGCAUUCUGACAGUGGCUUUUCUCUACAAGGAAAUGUAUUUGUUGAAUAUUUGUAUUUUUUUUGCGUAUCGAUCAUUAAUCUUUUCUUAUUGCACUACAUGGGCCAUUAAAUGGGGGAAGCCCAAAAGAUUGAUGGAAUAAAACAUGGAUAUUGGUGUACUGGUAAGGUUAGUUAUUUCAGCUAGGAUUUUUUUAUUAUUAACUUAUUGGUUUUGGAAAA